rnacentral:rRNA from 1 species
GACGAACGCUGGCGGCGUGCCUAAUACAUGCAAGUAGAACGCUGAAGAGAGGAGCUUGCUCUUCUUGGAUGAGUUGCGAACGGGUGAGUAACGCGUAGGUAACCUGCCUUGUAGCGGGGGAUAACUAUUGGAAACGAUAGCUAAUACCGCAUAACAAUGGAUGACACAUGUCAUUUAUUUGAAAGGGGCAAUUGUUCCACUACAAGAUGGACCUGCGUUGUAUUAGCUAGUAGGUGAGGUAAUGGCUCACCUAGGCGACGAUACAUAGCCGACCUGAGAGGGUGAUCGGCCACACUGGGACUGAGACACGGCCCAGACUCCUACGGGAGGCAGCAGUAGGGAAUCUUCGGCAAUGGGGGCAACCCUGACCGAGCAACGCCGCGUGAGUGAAGAAGGUUUUCGGAUCGUAAAGCUCUGUUGUAAGUCAAGAACGGGUGUGAGAGUGGAAAGUUCACACUGUGUCGGUAGCUUACCAGAAAGGGACGGCUAACUACGUG